AAGAAAUGGGGAUUUUGCAGUAACCUUCCCCUGGAUUGGGGAGGGAAUGGAGAUUUUACAGUAUCCUUCCCCUGCCACACCCACCAAGCCAUGCCACACCCACCAAGCCAUGCCCACAGAAUCGGUAGUAACAAAUUUUUAAUCCCACCACUGGGCACCCAACAGUAGAAUUAUGAAUACAAAAGACUUCAUCAAGAUCCCAGUUCACGACAAGUGAAUUGCAUGAACUGAUUUCUACUUGACGGCGCUGAUCUUGGAAACAUCUGGGCUCCAAGCUAUAAAGCAUUUUGAAUUUUGGGCUCAGGAGCCUCUUGAAAGCUAAUGCACAGCCCACAACAUGUCAGCUAUCAACCACCAAUAGGUGGAGUGUAUCAAUUGUAUCAUCUCAAUAAUCUUCAGAGGAAGCCCCAUAAAGAAGAGGUCAAGGCCAUGAAUAAUUAAAAGCACAGUUAUAUGA